GCCGGUGUAGCUCAGUUGGCUAGAGCAGCUGAUUUGUAAUCAGCAGGUCGUGGGUUCGAGUCCCUCCAUCGGCU
rnacentral:tRNA from 11 species